AUAAUACGUUCAGUAGUGUACAUUCUGCGGAAAUAUUGACAUCGCUGAGUGAUUAUAAUCGAACAAAUCGAAAUUGUAGCAAAUAAAAGAAUUUUGAUAGAUUUAAUUGUACUAUAAUUUAUCGUGGGCUGCAAUAUUUAUAUAUUGUUUUAGAGUUCAAAUAGUACGCUUUGACGUUCGAGUUUUUACAUAUUCUUAUAAUGUAAAUCCAAAUUUUUCUCUAAUAAAUAAACAAUAUUCGUAAGUGAAACACAAUUUUAUAAUAUUACAAUGGCAAGUGACAACUUAUGGAAUACAAGGGCCUUUAACUACGUAUGGCGAUAUUUUACACAAAAAGAAUGGCCCAUGGUAGAAUGCAAUUUCUGUGCUAAUAAAUACAGUUGUGAAAAUAUAACAAACUUAGAGAAUCAUUUAUCAUGUAAACAUCCAGAAAAAGUAAAAGAAAUGUUGGACAAAAUUAAGUCUGCCUGGGUAUCAAAGUCUUUUAUAUUUGACGAGAAACAUGCAAAUGCGUCAUGCAUUAUUUGUAGGAUGGAAUUUAAUAUAUUUCGCGGAAUAUUUCACUUAAGGGAUCACUUGUUCGUCGAUCAUAAAAUAGUUGAACCCGAAGAUACUAGUUCCAAUCCUGAGAACAGCAAUGCAAGCAGUGAUUCAACGGACGAAAUAGAGGACAACGCAAAUAUUACAACUGAUAAUAAUCAACAGGCUGAUUCACAUUUGCAAAAUGCAAAAUAUCAAGAAUCACAGGAUUCCGAUCAUUUGGCAUGGCGAUUUUUCACACCAACAAAAUGGCCUUGGACAACAUGUAAUAUGUGUGGUAGAACGUACAGUAGUAUAAAUUUAUUUAAUUUAGAGCAACAUCUGUCACUUCGCCAUCCAAAAGUAAUAAAAGAAAUACAAGAUGAAAUGAAAGGUACCAAGUUGUCAAAAUUUUUCACAUUUGGCGUAGAUCAUCCUAAAAUCGCAAAAUGCACUUGCAAUAAGGAGAUAAAUAUAUUUUACGGGACAAAUAAGUUAAAACAACACUUGAUAAAGAUACACAACUUAGUUGAUUUCGAUGCCAACGAAGAUACAAAUGCAGACGAUCCUCAGGCUAGUUCCUAAGCAGAAGAAAAUAAAAAAUAUGAGAUUGAUAUUCAAAUAAGAAAAAUUCAAAGUUUGUUCAAUAAUACAAUGACACAAACACAAUGAAAACAAGAUGAGUUACUUCUCAUAGUUUGUUGGGUAUUGAAUACGAAUCCUCUGUCUAAAUUUCUUCAUCACGUCAAAAUUUUGAGAAAUUUGCAAUUAAAGUUAAAGAAAAGGUUAAUUUUACGCACACUUGUCAUGUUAUGAUUGCAAUAUGUAACAUGCUGGAAAAAUUUGACUACGGUUAAAAUUAAAUAUGGGACGCUGUGAUGUUGAGCGUACACGAAUUUGGCUUUUAUGCUGCAUUCCACUUAACGCUCGCAACGUUUGUAAUCAUUAUUUGUCCUUAUUUAAUAUUUGAUGAAUAACAAUAGGAGUGAAAUGAUUCUGAGAGUGCUGCAAAUGUAAAGUGGAGCGCAUCGUAUGUGGCUUCUCUUAAAGAAUAAUUCUGCAAUGUUCGAUUUUUGGCAAUUUUGUAUAAAGAAUUCGCUUAAUGCAUGACAUUUAAUGCACAGCAAUGUACUUGCUCACUAAUAAGUGAUUAACAGUUGAUUACGAUUUGUUCUUACCUUGAGAUCGAAUUAAUUACAUUAAAUUGAUAACAAAUUUUAAAUAUGUAAAGUAACUACAAAAAUAACUAUUUUAGUUACUAGAUACUUAAAAAAAUGUAUCUAAUUGUAAGUUAAAUAACAGUUAAAAGAAAAAAGCAAAUCGUUACUUGCCCCAUCCCUGAUAAAAACUUCAUGGUUAUACAUAAAGUAAAUAGAGAAAAGGCUCCGAAUUAUUGACAAUUUAUUAACUAGCUUUUUAUCAAGUUCAUUUUUAAAGGACUCUUUAGGUCGUUGAAUACAAAUCCGAUAAUUUAAACAAAUAUUUUAUAAGAUUUUUUUCACUCUUUUUUUAGUUUUGAUAUAUGCCAUGUUGAAUCUAUUAUUUUCAAUUUGUCAGUUUUGACAUCGGAUGUCUUUAACGAUGAAUAUCUUAUCGAUUAUAAAUUAUUGAUAAAACAGCGGACACCAAAAAUUUUUUAUGACGACGUCCUAACAAUACACUUAAUUUUGAUUGCAGUCAAAACUUUUCUAGUAAAAUGUAGUUAUAAUAUAUUUACCAAAAUACAUAAAAUAAUACUUAAUUACAAAUUUUUCAAAAUUGUAACGUGAUGGAGUAAUUCGGACAGCGGAAUCGUAUUCAGCAUCCAAAGAAAAACUACAGGGAAUAAUUGGUCUCUAUCCAGUGUUCGAAAAAGAAGUCAUUUUUUAUGUCACAUUGUAAUAAAAUAAUCAAUAUAUGUGACUGACAAUGAGAUACGAUUAUUUUUUAUAUGGUUACUACUUUCUUUAUUUUCUUAUUCAUUUUAUAUAUGUGUGUGUGUAGGUUUAAUUGUAAGAGAGACAAGGAUUCCAACAGAAAUAUAAAUUCCAUUUUAAAGUAUAAGUGCAUCUAAUACUAGAAGAAUAAAUAUCCAUGACUAUUGUUAAAUGAACCAAAAUGUGUACUUUUGAUGAAAAAUUACUUACUUUGCAUUGCUAUGCGACAUAAAGCGAUUUCUUUUAAUUACACAUUGAUCUUUUUAUUAACAUAAUGUAUUAAUUGUACCUUAAUUAACUAUUUCAUUAUUAAUUAUCUUAUCUUA